GGGGCGGCAUUACUGGAGCCGCCUCAGGCGGCAAUGGAUACAGAAACGGCGCUGCUGUCACAUCAUACUUACAGACAAACAGCCAAUUCAGCCGUCACUGACUGGGGUAAAACAACAGCUGGAUGGAGAAUUAUCCUCCCAAAAUGCUCUGCAGACAUUCCCAGAUUGAACAGGUGAAGAGGAGGAGGACAGACCAGAACGUCACCUGUACCUGAAUUCCAGUGCAAUUGGGAAGAAGUGACUGGAGGAUGAAUAUAAACAGGGUCGGACUGGGUAGGCGGAACAAUAGGAAAAAACCCGGUGGGCCCCUCUGGCCCAGACCUAAACUCCCAUUGGCUGCUGAUCUCCCCUGAUGUGCUGAAGAAAAGGAAAAGCCAUGAAUUUUCUGCCUGUGAAUAAAGAAGUGCGAAGUUAAUUGGAAAUUCUCCUCACUUAUGAUAUAUAAAGAGAGGAAGCUCAUUUCCUUUAUCGGAGAUUUAUUAUGCCUGGAAAUGUCUCGAGGGAUCCAUUGUCAAGAUGACAGAACCCAGUGUUUGAUGUUUCUUUUUCUGAUUAAAGCGUGUCUAUUUUUUAUAUAGUUGCCUUUUCUUAGACAAAUCAAAUAUUUCCUUUGACAUUUUUAUGAUGGAAAGCCCACGUAUAUUGCUGGGAAAUA